rnacentral:ncRNA from 2 species
GGGGUAGAUGAUUGGGGUGAAGUCGUAACAAGGUAGCCGUAUCGGAAGGUGCGGCUGGAUCACCUCCUUU